rnacentral:tRNA from 1 species
UCCCGGGUAGCUCAAAUGGUAAAGAAUCUGCCUUCAAUGCAGGAGACCUGGGUUCGACCCCUGGGUCGGGAA